UGGGGAAUAUUGGACAAUGGGCGAAAGCCUGAUCCAGCCAUGCCGCGUGUGUGAAGAAGGCCUUUUGGUUGUAAAGCACUUUAAGCGAGGAGGAGGCUACUUGGAUUAAUACUCUAGGAUAGUGGACGUUACUCGCAGAAUAAGCACCGGCUAACUCUGUGCCAGCAGCCGCGGUAAUACAGAGGGUGCGAGCGUUAAUCGGAUUUACUGGGCGUAAAGCGUGCGUAGGCGGCUUUUAAGUCGGAUGUGAAAUCCCUGAGCUUAACUUAGGAAUUGCAUUCGAUACUGGGAAGCUAGAGUAUGGGAGAGGAUGGUAGAAUUCCAGGUGUAGCGGUGAAAUGCGUAGAGAUCUGGAGGAAUACCGAUGGCGAAGGCAGCCAUCUGGCCUAAUACUGACGCUGAGGUACGAAAGCAUGGGGAGCAAACAGGAUUAGAUACCCUGGUAGUCCAUGCCGUAAACGAUGUCUACUAGCCGUUGGGGCCUUUGAGGCUUUAGUGGCGCAGCUAACGCGAUAAGUAGACCGCCUGGGGAGUACGGUCG
rnacentral:rRNA from 1 species